CCCGGUGUAGCCCAACGGAAGAGGCAACGCCUUCAAGUCGCGUUCAGUGCGUGUUCGAAUCACGCCACCGGGA
rnacentral:tRNA from 1 species